UACGGAGGGUGCGAGCGUUAAUCGGAAUUACUGGGCGUAAAAGGCGCGUAGGCUGUGGGUUACGUCUGCCGUGAAAUCCCCGGGCUCAACCUGGGAAUGGCGGUGGAAACGGGCUGACUGGAGUAUGGGAGAGGGUGAUGGAAUUCCAGGUGUAGCGGUGAAAUGCGUAGAGAUCUGGAGGAACACCAGUGGCGAACGCGGUCACCUGGCCCAAUAAUGACGCUGAGGCGCGAAAGCGUGGGGAGCAAACAGG
rnacentral:rRNA from 1 species